UGGCAGUAGAACCAAGGGCAUCUUACUGAAGCUUCUUGCAUACCCGAGGUCUUCUGAAGUUGCAGGGAAGAUCUGCAGGAGGAGCUUAAGGAAGCAAAGUUGACUGGCCUUCUUUUCGUCAGGGCACCCUGGCAGCUCAGGUGACUCCAAGGAGAGAUUGUCUUGGAUGUGCAUCUCAACCAGGAAAAGGACCUUGUAGUGAUAGCAGCUAUGGCAGGAAGUAUCACUGCCCUGAAGACCUUACUGACUAAUUGGCUGCAAGAGGAAAGAUGGGGCUGUGUCAGGGCUGCAGCAGAGCUGGGGAGAAGCCAGCUCCUGACUUCUGAGCCCCACUGCUCAGUUAAUGCCAGUGUUGUUUCCUCCAAGAGAUGCCCUGCUGUCUUCUUUGCUUCCAGUUUGUCAAUACUGGUGAAUGUGGUACUGUGGUCAGGUGUCCUUUCCUUUCUUGGUGAGAGGAAAAAAAGCUUUUCUUCACCCCUGCCAUGCAAGCGACCCACUGAAACAACCGGCCUGAGUGGCAAUAGGAAGCACUGACAGCGGUGAUAUGCAAAUAUUUGUCAAAUGCAGAGACUAUCCAAUCUAAUCUAUCUGUCUAGACAUUUGUGCUGUGUUCAUCACCAUGGUAUCUGAGUGCCUGGGGUCAUGCAGUGACUCAGUGUCAGAGCUGUGGAUAAGAUCCAGACCUUCCAACUCCCAGCUCCAAGACAAGUGCUGGAGCGGAGAUCAUCGUGCUGCUCCCCAUCAGCCUGUGCUCACCCGCACCCAGAGCUUGUGCCCAGUCAGCAAUGUUCCCAGUGGCCACUCUGGGCACUGCCAAGACCUCUAUACCCCAUCCAUCACAGCAAGUGGGAAGCUUCAUGAGCUACUUCCAUCCCCUGGGAUAUGGAUUUGUCAACUCACUCCAGAGAUGAAGGUAUGCAAAGAUCUAUAUUGGAUCUACCCUUGGCUUGAUUGCCAGGAAGCCAUUUUACCUCCAUUCUAACUUGAAGACUGCCCUUCCACCUCCUCAGGACAGCACACGUGCAUACACAGCCAGCAGAAAAUACUCGCUCUACCUCUUACCACAGCCCAGAGAGAAACUAGAUCGGCUGCUGUCCAACAUUCAGGCUGUAAGUAGUACACAGAAUAAACAAAGGACAUCAAUUCUGCCAAUGUUAAUAGCUUCAGGCAAGAGGGAUGCAAAAAGUAGGGUAUUUAAAAUACAGGAUAACGUCAUCUGAAUUUGUUCAAAAGGCAGAGCUCUGCAUCUGCAGAUCUGAAAAAUGCAAAAGAAAACCUGAUAUUAAAGAUUUAUGCUUUUAUCUGCAAACUAGACCUUUAGCCCUUAGAGAAAUGCUUAUGCCUUGGAAAGGUUUGUAGGCAAGUUCACAAGCGAGGGACAGUGAGAAACUGCCUCUUCCAUCAGUGAACAGCACUGCCAUGCAUCUCCAUUUCUCACCACCACUGGAGAAGUCACCAACAUUUUGUCCUCAAAGCAGUUUGACGUCUGUGAAAAAUGUUCUCAGGGGAAGUUGGAAGGAAAGCAGACAAAAGAGUUAUAAUAAAAUCAGUCCUUUUUCUGCAAGUGAUACUUGUCAAAUACAAAAACAGCCAAGGUAGAGAACAAGUUGUGCUAAUCUGCAAUAUUUUUCCAGCAACCAGUUAUUACUUUCACAUUUUAUUUUAUAAUGUUUUAAAGCCCCAGAACCCAGCAUCGUGUUGCUACAGAAGCAAUCCCUAUAGCACAACUGCAGAGGAAAGAUCAAGCCUGUCUGCUUUCACUGCAGCCAGGGGUGAUGGCAGCCUGGAUCAAGGCAUUUCUUCCAGUUUUCAGCCUUGUAGUUCAGCCGCAGGAGGAAGCAAAAUCUGUAGCACAAAAUUCAGUGUAUGUAAUGUGCCUCCAAACACAAUAUGGUGACUUGGGCAGCUGGACUGCGCCGUGGUUCACAUCGCCCUUUCUUCACUCCUAGCCCAGAAAGUUAAACUAGAGCAAGUUUGGAUUUCUCUGCCAUUAGAUUUCCAACUACAAUAUAGAAACAGUCAAAGACUCAAGAACAGUGAGCAGUCAAAUGUAACUUAUUAUCUACUAAAGCCACAUCACUUUUAUAAACUACAGCCAGUGCUUUGAAGAGCCUGGUUCUUGCAUCUCUGAGUAUGUGAACCUGGCAUUGCUGGCACAGCAAAGGCUUGCAGUUGCUAAGGGACAGGCUUCAGCCUCAAGUCUACGCUCCAGCCCAAACUACAGGAACAAAGGGUUGACAAGGAUCUUGGGAGGUGGCACAGCCCACAUCCUUCACAGAAGCAGACUCAAACUUAAAACUUCUUUAGUGGAGGCUUUCUUUAAAACCCCCAGUAUCAGAAAUUCUCUUGCACCCCUGAACAAUCUCUUGCAUUUGACUGCAAUGAGAAAGCUUUACUUGAAUAUCCAAAUUAAACCUUCUCUGCAGUACAAGCGUAGUUGAUUGUCUCAUCAUCUCCCACCCUCCCCCCCAGUGAUAGUGAAAGAAUAAAUCAAUCAUCCUUCUUUGACAACAGCUUUCAUGUACUGAGAAACCAUGACAUCCUUCUCCCUCCCCCACUAAUACUGUCUUUCCUAGAUUAAAUGCACCUGAAUUCUCCAACCUCUCCUUGGAGGUCAUGUUUUCUAAAGCUCUAACAAUUAGUGCUGUUCUCCUCUGGCCUUUUGCCAAUUUGUCUACAUCUCUAUUUUAAAG